rnacentral:rRNA from 1 species
CAUACCACUUGUUGCCUCGGCGGAUCAGCCCGCUCCCGGUAAAACGGGACGGCCCGCCAGAGGACCCCUAAACUCUGUUUCUAUAUGUAACUUCUGAGUAAAACCAUAAAUAAAUCAAAACUUUCAACAACGGAUCUCUUGGUUCUGGCAUCGAUGAAGAACGCAGCAAAAUGCGAUAAGUAAUGUGAAUUGCAGAAUUCAGUGAAUCAUCGAAUCUUUGAACGCACAUUGCGCCCGCCAGUAUUCUGGCGGGCAUGCCUGUUCGAGCGUCAUUUCAACCCUCAAGCACAGCUUGGUGUUGGGACUCGCGUUAAUUCGCGUUCCUCAAAUUGAUUGGCGGUCACGUCGAGCUUCCAUAGCGUAGUAGUAAAACCCUCGUUACUGGUAAUCGUCGCGGCCACGCCGUUAAACCCCAACUUCUGAAUGUUGACCUCGGAUCAGGUAGGAAUACCCGCUGAACUUAAGCAUAUCAAUAA